GUGCGUACGAAAUAAGUGUCACGUGCAUACACAAGCCACGCCCACUCAUGAAUAUUGUAGACUUAAGACCAUUGUAGGUUUAAGGGCACAACACACGUUGCAACAUUAGGAGAGGAGAGCGCGGAUUUCAGUUGAUGAGUCGAACCUCGAUCGUCAUAAGUUCACCCCACUUUGUGGACGAACCUCGUCGGUCUGAUCCUAUCCUGUAUUGAUAUAUGGACUGAGAGUAAGUAAAACUGAUGAAAAUCGUUGAGAUUGUCGCUUCCCGAUGACAUUGAUCCAUCAGUGACAGCUCAGCAUCGCAAAGCUUGGGGGCUAGCAACGGUUGACUGUUUGAUAAAACGGCCCAGUCAACGAUCGUCCUACACAUAGAGAGACGUACCGGAUAAAUUGUUCAACAUAAAGAUGGAUCCUGGCGAAACAACAUUAGUGCACCAGAGCUUUGUGUCUCAGCCGAUGGCAAACAGACCAGUAAGACAUUUACCCGGAAUAGGUCAAGUUUAUGGAAGUGUGUUAGAGGCUGCAGGGUAUGACACGGCAGAAAAGGUCUUUGCAGUGUUCCUUCUUUGCGGCAGAGAUCCCUCGACGUUCUUGUGCUGGCUGGGCUCUAAGGCCAAUGUAAGCCGCAGGUACGCAAACGCUUGUUAUGAAGGCCUGAACGUUUGGUAUCAAAACUUCUUCCUUUAAAGAAAGGGCGGACAGCGGACGGACGGACGGCACCCAUUUUUAUAUUCCCCUUCGUGGCGGGGGAUAAUACAUGCACAAUAAAAAACUCUGGUUCUGCACAAAUAUUUAGAACAAAGAACUUGUAAAACAAACAAUUUAUCAACAGUAGAGUAGUUUAGUCGGAACCCUGCUUGUGACUCGGACAGUAAAUCAUUUACUUCCAUCAAAAUGCAACAACAACUAAGAACAUCCUGAAUAUAUUAAUUUACUUCCUUUUUGAAACUUGACAUGAAAGUAACGUUUCAGUACCGGUAUAUAACAUGGACACAAUACACCAUGGUGUAAAACAAAAAUCAAAUUCUCAUCUCAUAUAUUCAAACUCAAAGUUAGCUCUACAGAUUAAUAGAACCAUGAUUAAAAUUAUAAUUGGACUGGUCAAGAAUAGUUUUUAUGUUAUUUGGCCACAGUGAACAACCCAUUGUAUUGUUUAAAUAAAAAUGAACCAGAGGACCAAA